rnacentral:lncRNA from 1 species
CUUGAGGUCUAGUGUGCUAUCGGACGGUUGUCAUUGCGUGCGGUCUCGAUCGGACGCUUGGGAGGACUUAAUCAGAUGUGAGCGGAUGCUGCAGAGGCACGAUUGAGUGGCUAGAGUGAGUCAUAGUGAAGAUCGAACAGUCAAGAUGAAUUGUGGACUUCGAUCAAGAUUCUAAUUUCAAUUUGAACAUGGUUUUAGGUCUUUAAACAGUCCUGUGGGUAAUAGAACAGUAGAAGUUGAGAAGGGACCUCAGGCAGCCAUCAGGAGAG